GGAAGAUAAAAAGGGCUCAAAAUUUGGGCGGGGAACUGGACUCACUCAGCCUUCUCAACGCACGUCUGCUCGGAGAUCAUUUGGGAGAUCCAAGAGAUUCAGUAUCACUCGCUCCCUUGAUGAUCUUGAGUGGUCCACAUGUGCCAGGAGAUGUGGGAAUAGCUACCCCUGAAGUCAUGUGGAGAAAUGGGGUCCUCAUCGCACACCAUACACAAACAUCAGCUCACAAAUGGAUUAAAGACACUUAAGACCUGAAACCAAAAAAACUCCUAGGAGAAAACACAGGGGAAAGCUCCAUGACAUCAGUUUCGGCAAUGAUUUUUUUUUGGACAUGACACUAAAAGAACAAGCAACAAAACUAAAAGUAAACAAAUGGGAUUACAUUGAAGUAAAAAGUUUCUGCACAACAAAGGAAACAACCAACAAAAUGAAAAACGAACCUGUGAAUGGGAGAAAGUAUUUGCAAACUGUAUAUCCAGUAAGGGGUUAAUAUCCAAAUGCAUAAGGAACUCAUACAACUCAGUGGCAAAAACCAAAUAACCCAGUUGAAAA
rnacentral:sRNA from 1 species